rnacentral:rRNA from 1 species
GUUUGAUCCUGGCUCAGAAUGAACGCUAGCGAAAAGCUUAACACAUGCAAGUUGAAUGUUUUUUAAACAUAGCGAACGGGUGAGUAACGCGUAAGAAUCUACCAAAGAAUUUGUGUUGAUCACAAAUAGUUGUAAAGAUAUGUAGUAUCGUUUUUUGAUGAGCUUGCGUAAGAUUAGAUAGUUGGUGGGGUAAAGGCCUACCAAGUCAAUGAUCUUUCACUGGUCUUAGCGGAUGACCAGUCACACUGGGACUGAGAUACGGCCCAGACU